rnacentral:rRNA from 1 species
AUUGAACGCUGGCGGCAAGCCUAACACAUGCAAGUCGAACGAGUGGCGGACGGGUGAGUAAUGUCUGGGAAACUGCCUGAUGGAGGGGGAUAAAUACUGGAAACGGUAGCUAAUACCGCAUACCAUCGGAUGUGCCCAGAUGGGAUUAGAUAGUAGGUGGGGGAAAGGCUCACCUAGGCGACGAUCCCUAGCUGGUCUGAGAGGGUGACCAGCCACACUGCAACUGAGACACGGUCCAGACUCCUACGGGAGGCGGCAGUGGGGAAUAUUGCACACUGGGCGCAAGCCUUAUGCAGCCAUGCCGCGUGUAUGAAGAAGGCCUUCGGGUUGUAAAGUCCUUUCAGCGGUGAGGCGUUACCCGCAGAAGAAGCACCGGCUAACUCCGUGCCAGCAGCCGCGGUAAUUC